rnacentral:rRNA from 1 species
GAUGAACGCUGACAGAAUGCUUAACACAUGCAAGUCUUUGGCGAAGCUGUGCUUGCACAGCCUAGCCAAGGCGGACGGGUGAGUAACGCGUCAGGAACUUGCCCUGCAGUCAGGGAUAACAGACGGAAACGACUGAUAAGACCUGGUAAAGUCAGGCGGACUCAUGUCCAGCCUGAUGAAAAGAGAUGCUGCAGGAGAGCCUUGCGUCCUAUUAGCUUGUUGGUGGGGUAACGGCCCACCAAGGCGAUGAUAGGUAGCCGGCCUGAGCGGGUGGACGGCCACAAGGGGACUGAGAUACGGCCCUUACUCCUACGGGAGGCAGCAGUGGGGAAUAUUGGACAAUGGGGGCAACACUGAUCCAGCAAUUCUGUGUGCACGAUGAAGGUUUUCGGAUUGUAAAGUGCUUUCAGCAGGGAAGAAAAAAAUGACGGUACCUGCAGAAGAAGCGACGGCUAAAUACGUG